rnacentral:rRNA from 1 species
GACGAACGCUGGCGGCGUGCUUAACACAUGCAAGUCGAACGGAAAGGCCCCUUUGGGGGUACUCGAGUGGCGAACGGGUGAGUAACACGUGAGUAACCUGCCCUUGACUUCGGGAUAACUUCAGGAAACUGGGGCUAAUACCGGAUAGGAAUCCUUGCUGCAUGGUGGGGGUUGGAAAGCUUCGGCGGUUUUGGAUGGACUCGCGGCUUAUCAGCUUGUUGGUGGGGUAGUGGCUUACCAAGGCUUUGACGGGUAGCCGGCCUGAGAGGGCGACCGGCCACAUUGGGACUGAGAUACGGCCCAGACUCCUACGGGAGGCAGCAGUGGGGAAUAUUGCACAAUGGGCGGAAGCCUGAUGCAGCAACGCCGCGUGCGGGAUGACGGCCUUCGGGUUGUAAACCGCUUUCCGCAGGGGCGAAGCUUUUGUGACGGUACCUGCAGAAGAAGCACCGGCUAACUACGUG